UUCAGUAUAUAGAAAAUGGAUUUCUAUACGUUAGUAUCGUAGAUUUAGGGUAUAAAAAAUAGUGUUUUAUACGUUAGUAUUGUAG
rnacentral:tRNA from 1 species